CCGGACCUGCUUAUAGUGAUUUAUUUAUUAACAUCUUUCCAGGGAUUCUGUGAAUAAUAUUGAAGUCUUGAGGCAGAUUUUAAUAGAUUGCUGUUGGCUGACUGUAUAUUAAGUCCGGUUGCGCUGUGUGUGAUAACGUUGCACUGCCGUGGUGCUAGCUAGUGCUAAGCUAGUCAAGUUCAACAGCCAGUAUUCUCAACUUGUGGCAGUAAGAUUCUUUCCCGAAAGAUGGUUGGAAAUGUGUAUUUGCAGUUGGACUGACCUUUUACUGGAUUCCUCCAAUCACGCAAUACCAUCAGCGCUAGGAGGGUGAAGGAUGGUGAUAUGGCUGCAACUGAACGGGUGAUCGGGAGACUGUUCUUGGGAUCUAUGUGACUAGAGUUGAGGGAGCUGAAGCCAUGGACCCACCUGCCAAUACUGGAGUGGUAUUAGACGGUGGUGUGGUUCUAGAAGACCUGGGCAGUGUGUUCCUUGCCUUUGCAGUUCGGGCUGAUUUAUGCCUUAUAUAUUUAUAACCUUAUGAUUUAGAACUUGAGUUACCCUCCUACAUUCAGAUACACUUUUGAUGCACUCCAAAAACUGUUUCUGGAACUAGAUGCUAACAAACUGUCUCAUAAAGCUCAAUUACUAAAUAUAAAGCUAUUCAGUGAGAUGUAGUCCAUACUGAGUAUUACACUUGUGAUGUUCUGUUUAUCGAAUCCCACUGUGGUUGCACUUUCUGAAAACUUUAAUGUUGGCACUGACUUUUGUACAUUAAAUAAUUACAUAAUUCAGAUUUGUUCAGAAGUGUUUCAUGCCCAUGUUUUGUAGACAUUUCACUUAACUGUAUGCUGCUUUGUUAAACAUUUUCCAUUUAAAUGAAUUUUGAUUGCACUUAUUGUAUGCUGUAUUGUGUUAGA